rnacentral:rRNA from 1 species
CCUACGGGAGGCAGCAGUGAGGAAUAUUGGUCAAUGGACGCAAGUCUGAACCAGCCAUGCAGCGUGAAGGAUGACUGCCCUAUGGGUUGUAAACUUCUUUUAUACGGGGAUAAACCCGGGUACGCAUAUCUUUCUGUAAGUAUCGUAUGAAUAAGGAUCGGCUAACUCCGUGCCAGCAGCCGCGGUAAUACGGAGGAUCCAAGCGUUAUCCGGAUUUAUUGGGUUUAAAGGGUGCGUAGGCGGAUGGUUAAGUUAGUGGUGAAAGUUUGCGGCUCAACUGUGGAAUUGCAGUUGAUACUGGUAGUCUAGAGAGCAGUAGCGGUAGGCGGAAUGUAUGGUGUAGCGGUGAAAUGCUUAGAGAUCAUACAGAACACCGAUUGCGAAGGCAGCUUACUAAGCUACUACUGACGCUGAGGCACGAAAGUGUGGGGAGCAAACAGGAUUAGAUACCCUGGUAGUC